rnacentral:snoRNA from 1 species
GCAGACUCACUCUGCAUCCGACUGCGGUUCCAGUCCGGGUGCUUUUUCCGUCUGCUAGAGAACCUCCCGGCUGCUGCAAGGGCCUCGAGUGUCAGAGGUGCUGCAGCGGCCGGGGACACGGCG